rnacentral:tRNA from 1 species
GCCUCGGUAGUGUAGUCCGGCCAAUCAUGCAGCCCUCUCACGGCUGCGACACGGGUUCAAAUCCCGUCCGAGGCA